UACAGAGGUCUCAAGCGUUGUUCGGAUUCAUUGGGCGUAAAGGGUGCGUAGGUGGCGCUGUAAGUCGGGUGUGAAAUUUCGGAGCUUAACUCCGAAACUGCAUUCGAUACUGCGGUGCUUGAGGACUGGAGAGGAGACUGGAAUUCAUGGUGUAGCAGUGAAAUGCGUAGAGAUGAUGAGGAAGACCAGUGGCGAAGGCGGGUCUCUGGGCAGUAACUGACGCUGAGGAGCGAAAGCGUGGGGAGCGAACAGG
rnacentral:rRNA from 1 species